AUUGAACGCUGGCGGCAGGCCUAACACAUGCAAGUCGAACGGUAACAGGAAGCAGCUUGCUGCUUCGCUGACGAGUGGCGGACGGGUGAGUAAUGUCUGGGAAGCUGCCUGAUGGAGGGGGAUAACUACUGGAAACGGUAGCUAAUACCGCAUAAUGUCGCAAGACCAAAGAGGGGGACCUUCGGGCCUCUUGCCAUCGGAUGUGCCCAGAUGGGAUUAGCUUGUUGGUGGGGUAACGGCUCACCAAGGCGACGAUCCCUAGCUGGUCUGAGAGGAUGACCAGCCACACUGGAACUGAGACACGGGCCAGACUCCUACGGGAGGCAGCAGUGGGGAAUAUUGCACAAUGGGCGCAAGCCUGAUGCAGCCAUGCCGCGUGUAUGAAGAAGGCCUUCGGGUUGUAAAGUACUUUCAGCGGGGAGGAAGGGAGUAAAGUUAAUACCUUUGCUCAUUGACGUUACCCGCAGAAGAAGCACCGGCUAACUCCGUG
rnacentral:rRNA from 1 species